rnacentral:rRNA from 1 species
AACGAACGCUGGCGGCAUGCCUAACACAUGCAAGUCGAACGAGACCUUCGGGUCUUGUGGCGCACGGGUGCGUAACGCGUGGGAACCUGCCCUUAGGUUCGGAAUAACUCCCCGAAAGGGGUGCUAAUUCCGGAUAAUGUCUUCGGACCAAAGAUUUAUCGCCUUUGGAUGGGCCCGCGUUGGAUUAGCUGGUUGGUAGGGUAAAAGCCUACCAAGGCGACGAUCCAUAGCUGGUCUGAGAGGAUGAUCAGCCACACUGGGACUGAGACACGGCCCAGACUCCUACGGGAGGCAGCAGUGGGGGAUAUUGGACAACGGGCGAAAGCCUGAUCCAGCAAUGCCGCGUGAGUGAUGAAGGCCUUAGGGUUGUAAAGCUCUUUUACCCGGGAUGAUAAUGACAGUACCGGGAGAAUAAGCUCCGGCUAACUCCGUG